GGAAACCUGAAAAGUAUCGUUGGACCCAAAAUUGGAUGCUUGAGAUUUGUCCAUGUCACCAAGAGUGUUGGACACCUAAAAUUUGUCCACGUGAGUGUAAUAUUUUCUCUAGGUGACGUGGACAAAUCUCAGGCGUCCAUUUUUGGAUCCAAGGUAGUUUCUAGGUUUUC
rnacentral:pre_miRNA from 1 species